UACAGAUGACGUGGGUCCUAGAUGUGUUGC
rnacentral:piRNA from 1 species